rnacentral:rRNA from 1 species
AACGAACGCUGGCGGCAGGCUUAACACAUGCAAGUCGAGCGCCCCGCAAGGGGAGCGGCAGACGGGUGAGUAACGCGUGGGAAUCUACCCAUCUCUACUGAAUAACGCAUGGAAACGUGUGCUAAUACCGUAUACGUCCUUCGGGAGAAAGAUUUAUCGGAGAUGGAUGAGCCCGCGUUGGAUUAGCUAGUUGGUGGGGUAAAGGCCUACCAAGGCGACGAUCCAUAGCUGUUCUGAGAGGAUGAUCAGCCACACUGGGACUGAGACACGGCCCAGACCCAUACGGGAUGGAGCAGUGGGGAAUAUUGGACAAUGGGCGCAAGCAUGAUCCAGCCAUGCCGCGUGAGUGAUGUAGGCCCUAGGGUUGUAAAGCUCUUUCACCGGUGAAGAGAAUGACGGUAACCGGAGAAGAAGCCCCGGCUAACUUCGUGCCAGCCGCCGCCGUAAAAC